rnacentral:rRNA from 1 species
GAUGAACGCUAGCGGCAGGCCUAACACAUGCAAGUCGAGGGGUAGAACACUUCGGUGUUUGAGACCGGCGCACGGGUGCGUAACGCGUAUGCAAUCUACCUUGUACAGGGGAAUAGCCCAGAGAAAUUUGGAUUAAUGCCCCAUAGUAUAUAACCUUCGCAUGUUGGUUAUAUUAAAGUUCCAACGGUACAAGAUGAGCAUGCGUCCCAUUAGUUAGUUGGUAAGGUAACGGCUUACCAAGACGAUGAUGGGUAGGGGUCCUGAGAGGGAAAUCCCCCACACUGGUACUGAGACACGGACCAGACUCCUACUGGAGGCAGCAUUAAGGAGUAUUGGUCAAUGGGCGCAAGCCUGAACCAGCCAUGCCGCGUGCAGGAAGACGCUCCUAUGGAUUGUAAACUGCUUUUAUACGGGAAGAAACAACUCUACGUGUAGAGUCUUGACGGUACUGUAGGAAUAAGGAUCGGCUAACUCCGUGCCAGCAGCCGCGGUAACAC